UAAUUAACUUGGUAACGCAGCUAACGCGUGAAGUAGACCGCCUGGGGAGUACGGUCGCAAGAUUAAAACUCAAAGGAAUUGACGGGGACCCGCACAAGCGGUGGAUGAUGUGGAUUAAUUCGAUGCAACGCGAAAAACCUUACCUACCCUUGACAUGUCAGGAAGUCUGGAGAGAUCUGGAUGUGCCCGAAAGGGAGCCUGAACACAGGUGCUGCAUGGCUGUCGUCAGCUCGUGUCGUGAGAUGUUGGGUUAAGUCCCGCAACGAGCGCAACCCUUGUCAUUAGUUGCUACGAAAGGGCACUCUAAUGAGACUGCCGGUGACAAACCGGAGGAAGGUGGGGAUGACGUCAAGUCCUCAUGGCCCUUAUGGGUAGGGCUUCACACGUCAUACAAUGGUGCAUACAGAGGGCCGCCAACCCGCGAGGGGGAGCUAAUCCCAGAAAGUGCAUCGUAGUCCGGAUCGCAGUCUGCAACUCGACUGCGUGAAGUUGGAAUCGCUAGUAAUCGCGGAUCAGCAUGUCGCGGUGAAUACGUUCCCGGGUCUUGUACACACCGCCCGUCACACCAUGGGAGCGGGUUUUACCAGAAGUAGGUAGCUUAACCGCAAGGGGGGCGCUUACCACGGUAGGAUUCGUGAC
rnacentral:rRNA from 1 species